rnacentral:rRNA from 1 species
GACGAACGCUGGCGGCGUGCUUAACACAUGCAAGUCGAACGGAAAGGCCCUGCUUUUGUGGGGUGCUCGAGUGGCGAAAGGGUGAGUAACACGUGAGUAACCUGCCCUUGACUUUGGGAUAACUUCAGGAAACUGGGGCUAAUACCGGAUAGGAGCUCCUGCUGCAUGGUGGGGGUUGGAAAGUUUCGGCGGUUGGGGAUGGACUCGCGGCUUAUCAGCUUGUUGGUGGGGUAGUGGCUUACCAAGGCUUUGACGGGUAGCCGGCCUGAGAGGGUGACCGGCCACAUUGGGACUGAGAUACGGCCCAGACUCCUACGGGAGGCAGCAGUGGGGAAUAUUGCACAAUGGGCGGAAGCGUGAUGCAGAAACGCCGCGUGCGGGAUGACGGCCUUCGGGUUGUAAACCGCUGUCGCCUGUGACGAAGCGUGAGUGACGGUAAUGGGUAAAGAAGCACCGGCUAACUACGUG